rnacentral:rRNA from 1 species
GACAGAGGCCUCGAGCGUUAGGCGGAAUCACUGGGCUUAAAGCGUGUGUAGGCGGGCCCGUAAGUGUCUUGUGAAAUCCCACGGCCCAACCGUGGAAGUGCCCCCGAUACUGCUCGUCUGGGAGGGAGAUAGGGGCGUGCGGAACUUCCGGUGGAGCGGUGAAAUGCGUAGAUAUCGGGGAGGAACACCAGUGGCGAAGGGCGACU